AUAUUUUUGAAGAUAGAGC
rnacentral:piRNA from 1 species